AUUGAACGCUGGCGGCAUGCCUUACACAUGCAAGUCGAACGGCAGCACGGGUGCUUGCACCUGGUGGCGAGCGGCGAACGGGUGAGUAAUAUAUCGGAACGUACCUUAUUGUGGGGGAUAACGCAGCGAAAGCUGUGCUAAUACCGCAUAAUCCCUACGGGGGAAAGCGGGGGACCGUAAGGCCUCGCGCAAUUAGAGCGGCCGAUACCUGAUUAGCUAGUUGGUGAGGUAAAGGCUCACCAAGGCAACGAUCAGUAGCUGGUCUGAGAGGACGAUCAGCCACACUGGGACUGAGACACGGCCCAGACUCCUACGGGAGGCAGCAGUGGGGAAUUUUGGACAAUGGGGGCAACCCUGAUCCAGCAAUGCCGCGUGAGUGAAGAAGGCCUUCGGGUUGUAAAGCUCUUUUGUCAGGGAAGAAACAGCAGCUCUAACACAGUUUGCGAAUGACGGUACCUGAAGAAUAAGCACCGGCUAACUACGUGCCAGCAGCCGCAGUAA
rnacentral:rRNA from 1 species